UCUUUCUUUUCCCCAUUACAGCUUUUCAAGAUAGUGGUGCCUAUUGUGACGCUUCUUGCCGUCUUUCAUCCCGUGUCUAGACACAGCAAUGGUAACCAGGACGAAUUCUUAACCAGUGAUACACAAUAUGGGGCAUUCCAACCCCGUUUCACAUCUCUGGGCAGCUACCGUCGCCUGUAUCAACCAGGCACAGAUGACCAUGGUAUACCCUGGGUACCACCCUCACAGUACGCCAGCCCUGCACGCAGGUCUCAGUCCUUUCCUAAGAUGCCAAGUAUCAGGGAGGAACAUGAACCAGCGAGCCUGUCGCUACCGGUAACCGCAUAAAUGAUAUGGAACCCUGGGAUUGGCUGGAUAGUUGUGAAAGCAACCAUUUCAAGAGACCUUUUUAAGGGGAGGAUGAGUACCGCAAAUAUGAUUGACGUCGAGUCAAUAUUGCGUUAAACAUGGAAUUAGUGCAACUUUAUUUAUCCAGGUGCUUUUGCCAAAGGCCGCUUUCAUUUUUAUACCAAUGUAAAACAUUUUAUAAAAAAAUGGCUUUUUUAGUUUUCAAAAAGCCUUUGUCAUGGUUUUUUGAAAGAACUGUACUGUUUUAAGGCUGUAAUGUGAUCUAUGGUGAAUUAAGCAUGAAAAGGAAAUCAGAACAAUUACUGCUAAAAAUGCCUUGUCUGUUUAUAUAUUUUGUUUUUGUUUGUUUGUUUUUUUCAAGAAAAAUUUACCGUACAAAGGUUUUGAGUGCCUCGAUGGAGCACCUUGAGCACCAAAUACUGGUGGAUACUUGGACUUAAAAAUACACAUUGUUUAAGGCAGUUACUCAAAAAGAUAAGCAGAACUAGUUUUGCUACAACCAGUUUGGUUGUAUGACUGCACACGUUUUCAUAUAUUCAGAUUUUACGAUUUUAAUCUUGGUGAACACGGCAGUGUACUCAGAUCUACAUGUAUUGGGGAUAAUGCUACAAAUAUCAAUCAAAAUUUUAAAUAGAAGAUGAAAAGACAGUUCACACACAAGUAAGAGAAUAAAAAGUACUGUAAAAUGUCGUGCAGUCUAAUGCCACGUUCGCAGUGGACUCAAGUUUGUAAAAAGUUACCGCAAAUGAUUGUUAACAUUCUAUCGUGGUUACACUUCCGUGCAUUCUCACUUAGAUUAAUUUCGGACUUCGCAAAGUCAUUUGUUAGGUAAACUAUGCCCUACCAUGCUCUCUCAGCAUCUCGUCAUUUGCUGUACAUAUCAUCUAUCAAGCGCAGUCUACAAGUUGGUCAUAUGAUCACAACGUAAAUUUUACAUAGUAGUGGCCGUCGGCACAUGACUUUUCAGUGAUGUAAAACCUACAUUGUAAUUCUCUGUAACCCAAUUUGCUCUGUAAAAUUCUGCUGUGAAGCGCAAGACUUACAAUCGACAAUUGUCACUUGACAUUUUUGUGAAGUGUACUGUCUGUCAGCACUGGACUUAAUUUGGUUAAGUUGACAACAGUCUUUGUAAGUUUUACCCAAAAAAGGUCCAAUGGCAACACGGCCAAUGGUUUUCAUACUUUUUUUUUAUAAUUUUUUUUUUUAUUUUGCUGACACCCGUUAUGCUCAUAAUCAUUACUUUGUGUUUCCCCAAGUGAAAAUUGUCAAAUGAUGAUUUGUGCUCAUGCAGUUGGAAUACUGAACUUGAUGUUUGAGAUCGUUUGUAGCUAGUAUUUUUGUAAGUGUAGGAUCUCUUUGCACACUUAGCAUCCUGGGCAAAUGCAGUGGAACGCCACUAUAACGGACAUCGCGGGAUCCACAGAAAUUGUUCGUAAUAGCGAUCGUUCGGUAUAGCGAUUUUAAAGCUGCCGGUGCUCCGGUACUCGCUUUCCUGCUCGCCCUGGUAGUUACUGAAAGACGACUUUGAACACGUGCCGACUAUUGAAUCAUGCAAUUACAUAGUUUUUUAGCUUACUACCUACACUGUACAGCAAUGGGUGGCUUUCCCCUUCCAUUCCUUGGGAAAAUAACAGCCACUUGUCGCUCUUCUGUUGACAUUUUUCAACAACAGUGUUCAGUACACGGGAGCCAAACACGAUGUUUGGUAUAGCCGAAUGUUUGGUAUAGCGGUGUUCGGUUUAGCGACAUUCCACUGUAGUUCAAUUUAUUUGAAAUUCAGCUGAACUACUUAGAACCUUUGCAACUUUUUAUGCGCUUGUUUUCUUUGACACUAAAAGAAAGUAAGACAAACCAAUGCAUUAUAUACACACGCACGCUGUUUUGAUUUAAAACCCAAGCACUUGGAAAAUAUGGGGGUCAGAUAUGUAUGUUUUUUGCCUGUACAGUAUUUUAAUGUACAAUAAUUAUCAUAAUGUAAAUUUCUUUUAUACAAAAUAGAGUGCAAAACUGAUGAGUACUUUUAAGUGAGCCAAAAAGACAAUCAAAAUCCAUCCCCCCCCCCCCCAUUUUGGGAAAGUGUGGCAGAUAAGCCAUGUGUAACAAGUCCAUCAAAAUCCAGGAGCACCAGUGGUGGAUUUCAAUGGAUUUGGUCCUGAAGCAUUAUGGUGAAGCAGAGUCAGUGAUGGAUUUUGAUGGACAUGGUUUUCUACUUAGUAAAACUAAGUAGGGAGUUAGGAUUUCUAAAAAAAAAUGUAAAAAAAAAAAAGGUAACAAGAUUGUGUUAGGUACCAUUUGUUUUGCCAUUUCUGGAAAUGAUUCUUGAUAAAAAUAUUUUACAAUCACAAAGAUUUUAUUUGAGACUUAGUAAAUAUUUUUUUUUAUAUAUUGUAACUUAUUUGAGAGUAAACUGGGCAAUGAUUGUAGCUCGCACAUCUUGGUUUUUUUUUACUUUUAUUGUUUUAUUUUACCAGGGUAGCCCCAUCAGUUAUCUAAGAACUGUUCUCCCUGUGGGCCCUGGAUGAACCUCUAUAGUCAAUUAUUUUGUUGAACAUUUGAAAAAAAAAUACAAAGACAGUAUAAAGGGUAUGACAGCACAGCUCUUAUAAUCACAUGGACAUUGCCCCUAAAGGUUACAAAGUGUUAAACAUUAACAGAACUCUUUACAAUUUCUCCAACUUUUCACAUGUACAUCUUUUUAGGUUUUUGGUCAGUUUUAAAAAUAACACUGAUAACUAAGAAGAUAUAUUAAGAGAAUUUUUGUUUUACCUUUCAGUGUGUGUGUAUAUAAAUUCACUGUUGGAAAGUACAGUUGCCUUAUCUUUUUGGUCACACCUCUACUGCUAAAAAAAUAUUUUAAAAAGACUCCAAGGGUUAAGCACUGCUUAGGAGAUAGAGACAUUAUAUAUAGCUCCUGUUACUUCUUAUGUAUAUCACUUUUUGGUUGUAUUUGGAUUAGAUGUAUUUGGAUUAGAUGUAUUUUUACUUUAUUGUAUAUAUAUAUUCGAACUAAGAACUCGGGCAGCUUGUUUUACAAAAGUGUCUAAAUACUGAUUUAAGAAAAUGUUUAUGAAGAAAUGUACAUGUAUAUAAAAGCUGAACAAUUAUAUUUUGCAACCAGAUUUUCCCCUAGCCCCAUACCCAGAUAGCAUGGUGAGUUCAUUUUAAGGCAAAGGUAAUUCAACAGUUGAGAUUAUAGAACUAAAAAAACUUCACUUUUUUUUUAUUUGUUGCACUGACAGUUUUAGAAAGGAAGAAAGGCAAAACGCAUCCUUUCAAUUUAAUUUAAAUGUCUUAAAGUAGAAACUUCUGAAGGCCUUAAUUGUAAUCACCUGCAUAUGCAAAACAAAAUAGAUUUAAAAAAAUCAUUUUUAGAUUUGGGUAACUGUUUUAUUGAUACUCAUUCACAAAUAGUUACUACAUUUGGUGUUUAUUACUUGUUAUAUUUACUCAAGAAUUACAUUUUUUUUCUCACUUUACUUGUGUAUAACCCUGAAUUACCUCCCCAAUUCACUGAAAACAAAAUUAUGGUAAUAUAAUCACAAGUACGUGUAUAAUUUAAUGUAUAUAGCGAAAUAUGUUUUGUACAGUUUUUACAUGUCCAAUUGAAUUAAGUGCACACAGGACAUGUACAUUUACUCAUUUGUAUCGACGUCCGUAGGCCUACGUUAUCACAAAAAGUGGAAAUGUGGAAUACGCUUUUGGGGUACCUCGGUGCUUGAGUCAAAUGUACUGCGCUACGAGGAAAUGUUACUCUCAAAAGAAGACUGGUUAAAUAUUAAACAAAUAAUCUAAAUUGCCCAAAUGCACUUCAUAAAUUGUUUGAAACUUCUUCAGAAACCAUGUCGCAAGAAUAAAACAAAUCUUAGAAAUACUAAGUUACAAUUGACCUAAAAUGUAUUUAUUGUAUAUUUGUAGAAAAUAUGAUUUUAUAAGCUUGUACUGUCAUUUGACAUUAUUGAGGGCGUACUUUCUCAGUAUUGCAUUUUAACAAAAUAAACGAAUGGGCAGUAUGCUGCUAUAUUUAGUUUUGUUGAGGUA
rnacentral:lncRNA from 1 species